UCCUACGGGAGGCAGCAGUGGGGAAUUUUGCGCAAUGGGGGAAACCCUGACGCAGCAACGCCGCGUGGAGGAUGAAGCCCCUCGGGACGUAAACUCCUUUCGACCGGACGAAAUGA
rnacentral:rRNA from 1 species